rnacentral:misc_RNA from 1 species
UGGAUGGAUUGUCAAUGGAAGAAUUUGUAAUGAUAUUUCAGUAUCCCGUGCUUUUGGUGAUAUGAGAUUUAAGACAAAGAAGAAAGAGAUGCUGGAGAAAGGGGUUAAAGAACGCAGAUGGUCUGAAAAGUUCAUUUCUCGGAUUCAGUUCAGGGGAGACUUGGUUAUAGCAUCUCCAGAUGUUUUACAGGUGAAUCUCGGAUCAGAUGCUGAAUUUGUACUAUUAGCAUCUGAUGGAUUAUGGGAUUACAUGAAAAGCGAUGAAAUAGUGGAUUUCGUUAGGAACCAGCUUCGAGAGCAUGGUGAUGUUCAGAUAGCAUGUGAAGCUCUUGCACGGUUAGCCUUGGAUCGACGGACACAAGAUAAUGUCAGCAUUGUCAUUGCUGAUUUGGGGAGGACGGAUUGGCGAAAUUUACCAGUAAAGAAACAGAAUGUUGUGUUAGAACUGGGACAAGCUUUAGUGACAAUCAGUUUUGUGUCAAUUGGAAUAUGGCUAUCAACAAUGAUUUCCCCUUAGAAGUUUGAUAGUAAUAUUAGUUAAUUGUAUAUAGUAUUUUUG